UUCUUAUAUAGUCUGGAUAUUAACCCCUUAUCAGAUGUAUGGUUUGCAAAUAUUUUCUCCCAUUCUAGGUUGCCUUUUAUUUUGUUGAUAGUUUCCUUUCUUGUACAGAAGCUUCUUAGCUUGAAGUAGUCCCACUUGUUUAUUUUUGGUUUUGUUGCCUGUAUGUGUGUGAAAUUUUAUCUUUAAUUUAAUGGAAGGAAAAUGUGCAUUGGAAUUAUGUUUACCAUAUAUAAUAUUAUGACUGUACAAACAUAUUAAGCCUAAUGUUAAAUAAGUGACAAUUUUGCCUUGCCUUAUGUCUAAGUGUGUGAGGAGAGGUGUCUUUGAUGAUCAAAAGAAAGUUAAAAUUAACAUAAUCCACAUUUGGCACUCCAGCAUUGCUUCAGUCAAAUAUAUACUAACAUUUUUUUCGUCUCUAAGUUUCUGAAUUUAAACACGCAGAUGAAUUCGUGGUGCUGCGUGCUCUGCGGAAGAAUUGAGCACGCCAUGUUGCUGCAGUCUGACACUGCCUAACUGCAUGGGAGACAAGCUGACACUGGGCAAAACUGUGAAAUGUGUGAUGCUACACCUCUUUCCUCAAGACCAAAUCCGCGUUAUGAUGAAUCCUGACCCAGAACAUUUCUCUGCCCUGAUCCCCUCCACUGCCUGUUCUUCCUCCUUGUUCUUCACCUUGCUGGUUUUGGCUCUUAUCUGAACAGAGAUUCAAUGGCAAACUUCUCCCAGGGCACAUCUCUUCUUCUAAAAGGAAAAGACAAGCUCCUAUCCUACCUUUCUCCUGUCCUUGACCGUAAACACAUUCACCAAGCAUGUUCAUUUAAAACAGUCACUUCUGCAAACUUCCAGAUGCAGCUAAAAUGUUUCUGCCUUCAAGAAGUCUUCUUCAAACUCUGCAGAUGGAGUUAACGGCUCCAUUCUCCUGUACAGACACGGAACUUGGUUUAUAGCAUUUACUGUGUCCUCUGGUCACUUACUCACUUACCGGUGUAGAUCUCACUAGAUGUGAGGUUUUCAGUAGCAGAGGCCAGGACUUAUUUAUCUUUUUCUCUAGCACAGUUCCUGAGCCUUGGUAAAUAUUUAAUAAACAUUAAUUGAAAGACUAAAAUAAUUGAUGGACGGAUAAAUAAAUGAAUGGUCUUGUGUAUUUGUGUUGUCUCUCUGCCAGACAAUUUCUUGCUGUGCUUACGGCAUUUUUCAUUUGUUUGUUUUCAUGGUUACUACGCUUUUACAUUUAUCAAGUGGAAACCUGGGCGUCAAUUUAAAUAAGCAACCCUAAUUCUUAAUUUCCUCUUAAAUUCAACUUGAAUAACCCUUGUGUUAGUAAAACAUUGUGGGAACUUCAGUUUGUGUUUGCUGGAAAAUCCCAACUGAGUUGCUACAAAAAGGCAGAAAUUAGAGUUGGUCAAGAGGAUGACCAGAUCAUGUGAUUUGUUUUAUUGGAGCUUGUCAUCAACAUAGACAUUUGAUUUCUAAUUUAUUUGCAAUAGCUUUUCUUCCCUCUUGGUAGACUGGUAAUCAGAGGGCAAGCAGCAAUCUUGUAAGUAAGAUACAUUUGAGAAUGUUUUCCACCAACUUGAUAGUAGGGAAGUCUGGAGCCAAAUGGUGACGUUUGUAUUUUGACAGCCUCAUCUUUACUCUGUCCUUCGCUCCCUACUGCUCUGGCCUGGCUUUCCCAAGCCCUCAUAAAACGGUUUUGGCUUAGCAGAUGGCGUGCAUUAGAAGGUCUCUUCAAUUUUGUGAGUCGCAGUUUCCUCAUCUUUAAAGAUGGAUAAUAGAUCCAGAUGCUUCUGCAGGGCAAAUAUCUAAUGCUCUCAAAAAUUCUCUGUGAACACUAAGAAAUUACAUAAAUCUAAAGGAUUAUUAUUUUUAAUUUAUUAGAGGCGUCAUUUGUAGCACCAUAAUUCAGCACUUCUACUUGUGUCUCUGGAUCCUUUAAGCUGAAAACCAAGUACAGGCGCAGCUUGCUUUCCUGUGCUUUGCUUUAUUGUGCUUUGCAGGUGUUACAUUGUUUACAAAUUGAGGGUUUGUGGCGGUUCUGCAUGGAGCAAGUCUAUUGGUGCCAUUUUGCCAUCAGCAUUUCUCAUUUUGUGUCUCUGUGUCACGUACUUCUCGC
ensembl:lncRNA